CCCAGAUCCUUCGAGAUGCCGCCGCCACCUGCGCGCCGCCGCCGCUGCCCGCCCGUCCCAGCACCCUGCCGCCGCCGCCCGCACGCCCCGCUGCGCCGUUGUCUCCAAGCACCCCGCGCGAUCGCCACCCCAAUCCUUCGCCGCCGAGACCCAACCUCCUAGGGAACGGGCGCCGGCCGCCGACCGUUCCCCCAGGACCCGACCGUCUCACACGUACGGCUACGACCCCGCGCCAUCGGCCCCCAAUCGUCGCCACGCACCUGCUCCUCGACGCCGACAAUCCCGACAACGUCUGCUCCGACGAGACCGGCGCGCCGCCCAACACAGAUCGAUGGUGGACGGUGUUGAGACCUCCUUCCUCCCGACGCCUCUACCGUCGUGCAGUAAUGAGCGUGACGCUGGCUCGCACACCCACAACCACCGCAUGCAACCUCCCCCUGAGCUCUCCGACUCCUGGAUGCCACUCCGCUGCCUUCAACAACAAGAACUGACAUGCUCUGUCCACGGUCUACAAUUUUUCUCUUCGCCACUUCCUCAACUUGAAUUGACUCCUUGUUGACCUCGCGAGAGCAGAUGCGUCCACCUCCCCUAAUGUCAGCUAAAGACAGAAGAUGGAGAGAGAUGGCGAGGAUAUGUUUUUGUUGGUCAUUCCUCCCCUGAUCCUGCUCUUCCCCCUUCUUGUUGGCAUCGCGAUGCAGGCGAACAACUGUUCAAGCCAAGCCCAGUGCCACCGUAGCACCCAAGAAGAUGGGGAGAGGAUGUGCAGUGAAGAGAAAACAUAGGUUUUCAAAUUGGCCAUUGGUGGUAGCAUCUAAUCAUUUUACCAAGUAAUGAACAUGUGUGUGUAUGUACAGUAGCAUAUUUUACCCAAACUGAGUUACUCUAUUUUUUCAAAAUGCACGUAGUCUGUGCAGCCAAAAUGUAUUAACCUUCUAAUGUUGCACUUGGUCUGUGCGCAUUUUACUUUAUCCAUUUGGCUAAUAACUGUUGUCCCCCUA